rnacentral:tRNA from 1 species
GUAUUGGUAGUUCAGUGAUAGACUUCUCACCUUCCAUGUGGGAGACCUAGGUUCAAAUCCCAGCCAAUGCA